rnacentral:rRNA from 1 species
UACGAAGGGGGCUAGCGUUGUUCGGAAUUACUGGGCGUAAAGCGCACGUAGGCGGAUAUUUAAGUCAGGGGUGAAAUCCUGGAGCUCAACUCCAGAACUGCCUUUGAUACUGGAGAUCUUGAGUCCGGAAGAGGUAAGUGGAACUGCGAGUGUAGAGGUGAAAUUCGUAGAUAUUCGCAAGAACACCAGUGGCGAAGGCGGCUUACUGGUCCGGAACUGACGCUGAGGUGCGAAAGCGUGGGGAGCAAACAGGG